GUCAGUGUCAUCUAGUGGUUAGGACGCGAGCUUCACACGCUCGAGAUCGAGGGUUCGAUCCCCUCCUCUGAUA
rnacentral:tRNA from 1 species